rnacentral:miRNA from 1 species
UAGUGCUGCAAUGUAAACAUUGCAGUUCUCUGGAACUGCAAUGUUUAACAUUGCAUCAUUA